rnacentral:rRNA from 1 species
UGGGGAAUUUUGGACAAUUGGGCGAAAGCCUGAUCCAGCAAUGCCGCGUGUGUGAAGAAGGCCUUCGGGUUGUAAAGCACUUUUGUCCGGAAAGAAAUCCUUGGCUCUAAUACAGUCGGGGGAUGACGGUACCGGAAGAAUAAGCACCGGCUAACUNCGUGCCAGCAGCCGCGGUAAUACGUAGGGUGCAAGCGUUAAUCGGAAUUACUGGGCGUAAAGCGUGCGCAGGCGGUUUGCUAAGACCGAUGUGAAAUCCCCGGGCUCAACCUGGGAACUGCAUUGGUGACUGGCAGGCUAGAGUAUGGCAGAGGGGGGUUAGAAUUCCACGUGUAGCAGUGAAAUGCGUAGAGAUGUGGAGGAAUACCGAUGGCGAAGGCAGCCCCCUGGGCCAAUACUGACGCUCAUGCACGAAAGCGUGGGGAGCAAACAGGAUUAGAUACCCUGGUAGUCCACG